CCCUUAGAUGUUCUGGGCCGCACGCGCGCUACACUGAUGCAUUCAACGAGUUUCUUCCUGGUCCGAGAGGAAUGGGUAACCUUUUGAAAGUGCAUCGUGAUAGGGAUAGACUAUUGCAAUUAUUGGUCUUCAACGAGGAAUUCCUAGUAGACGUAGUUCAUCAGACUGCAUCGAUUACGUCCCUGCCCUUUGUACACACCGCCCGUCGCUCCUACCGGUUGAAUGCUCAGGUGAGCCAUUCGGACUUUCAUCAUGCUGGUUUCCAGUUUUGAUGAAGGAAAGUCUUGCGAACCUUAUCAUUUAGAGGAAGGAGAAGUCGUAACA
rnacentral:rRNA from 1 species